CUCCAGGCCGUUUCAUAACAAUUAUGUCUCUCCCGUUUCCUUUUCCCUAUCGCCUCUUGCUUCUCUAUGUACCGUUUCAUUUUCCCCAUCAACAACAACACAGUGGUUCUCCAUCACUCUCAAUUCACAGCCACCAUCUGCAUUCUUUCCACGAACGACUUCUCCUGGUGCCUCAGCCCCCAUCUGCAGAUGCUUCCUUUUCCUUGCUUCGAUUUCUUCCUGCUCUAUCCACCAUACCGCCUUCUCCCCCAAAUUACCCCCCUCAAUCAGCCAUCAACCGUGAGCCCACUAACCUGACAGUCGAAGUUAGCACAGGGAUAGCUUUUAGGUCGUUUAUUGGUAUUUUUUUUGCUAUCAAUUUACUGGGAAAUAAUGUGAAGUGUAAAUUGGGUUAUUGGUAAAACUAGGGUUCGAAUUCAAUUGAAAUUUCAGUUCAUUUACAGUGUAUUUAUUAAAAAUCUAUUUUAUUUGUGGUGUGAUUAUAAUGUGGUGUAGUUAUUAAAUUUUGUAGUGGUAAUAGAAUUACCCUUUUCUUAUAUUGAAAAAGGUGAAAAUUUGUUCAAUUUGAGAUAGUUUUAAAUAAAGUUUACUAACAUAAUUCCUAGGUAUUUGUAAAUUGAAAUGAAUUGUAAG
rnacentral:lncRNA from 1 species